ACGUGCAUGACCACGUGACUACGUGCAUGACCACGUGACUACGUGCAUCUCGGUUCAUCCAAUAUGGCGGGCUAAAGGUGUGAGAAAACUUCUGUCGUUUCGAUCGCCAUUUUCUCGGUUACGCUUGGAGUUGAGUACAAGAUCAAGAUCUUUGUAGUUCAGAAAUUGUGCUACAAUUGGACUCAAUUUUCCUGGCUUCUUUUUGCCAAUUCUAUGUGCACGUUCGAUUGAUAUAUUGUCUCCAUCUAACUGUAGUUUGUCAGUGAUUAUUAAAUAAUAUUAUUAAAUACUUUUCUUUGAGUUUCUCCUCGGAUUGGGACCAGCUUUCAUUUCCUGUAGCUUCGUCGAUUCCAUCAAAGCAUAAAUUAUUCUGCCUUGACCAAUUCUCCAGGUCAUCUGCCUUGUCAAGAAGAUGAUCAAUGUUAGACUCGAUCGUUUCUAAUCGACUUUAACAAUUUGUGGCCUUCAUUUCAGCAAUUUCUGCUUGACUAAUCUCAAGGCUUCUUGUAUUUUUAGUAACUCUUUCAUCAUGUCAAGAGUGUUGGAGAAGCCUUUAGAUCCUACAGUAGUCCUUGUUCAGUUUUUGAGCCUCCUUUAGAACGAGUACCUGCCGCCAUAUUUAAUUAURCUUUUUCUCUCAAAUAAUGCCAUUGACCAGGAAAAUUUAAAGAAUAUCCAGCACUAUUGAUAUUUUUCAAUGACUUUUCAAGUGCACUUGACAUAGCUUGCAUUUGGAAUUAUUAGGCUUUUAAAUUAUUUAAACAAAUAGAACAAACCCUGGGUUUUGAAAUGCCUCAUUUUGUUUGGAGGGGUAGUAAAGAGAAAAAUAAUCUCAAGGAUAAUGAGAUGACACCUUUGCAUUAAAGAAACAUUUGAUGAAGCCAUACCCGCAGCAUGGCCUAACAGAAGAUAAGCGGGUUUACAACUACCGACAUAGUUGGGCACAAAGGCUCUCAGAAAAUCUCUUUGGCAUACUUGCCAACAGAUGGCCAUUACCAAAAAAUACCGGACAAUAUGGCGGCCCCCUCAUUAUGCAAACAUYUUUACGGGCAUUUAAAAAUGGUGGAUCCGUACAAAGGAUCAUAUGGUAGUAAAACUAAAAAGCUUAAAAUAAAGUGGUUAAUAGUGGCUUGGACAUUUUGUGGUGUUAUGGAUCAAUUUAUCGUACUUCAGUGCACUUACCAGACUCAACUUAUGAUGCCUGCAUAAAGGUCUUUUUCGGGCAAAAUACUGUUAAAAAUAAUGUGCUAUUUCACCACACAUUCUCUUAAAAUCAUAGUCAUACUGUCCCCUAAGUAGAUAAAAUUCUGCAUGAUCACGGAGAUAAAUCCAUCUUGCGGUCUCCACGUCCAAUCAUUCACAUAACACACUCGUCUCAGAGCCAUCUUUAACGCCAAUUCGUUCUCAUCUGGAGCGGGCAAAAUUCGAUAGAAACCACAGCUUUUUCCCCAUAUGCUAUUUGAUAUCAUUGUCGAAGUAUCAAUCUUUCAGGACUUGAAAAAGUUUUUAAAAUAUCGAGUAUAAAAGCACCAACAGAGCUCUUUUCUCCGACUCUUUCUCCUCCAUAUUAUACCUCAGUAGCCAGGCCUUUAAGGCGAACAAAAAAUUACCGUGUGGGGGAGAUGAGGAGUAGUAAGAUAAAGCAAUGUUCAAUAAUACGUUUUGCCUGAAACGUAAAGAAGUUUAGAUAGUCUAUUGUGCUUGUUGCUCUUAAAAGUGAAUUGCUAUGUAUUUACUUUUUUAUAUCCUAAUUUAUAAAAGUGUAAAUCUGAUGUAUGAGAUAACUGACAAGCCCCUACCCCUUAGAUUGUUUUUUAUUAUGAGAAGUGGGAUUACUUUGUUAUUAAUCCCAAUAUCAAAAUGUCUGAAUAUCUGAAUGAAUAUACUAAAGAAGUGAUCAAUUGGAAAUUGAAAUUUGAUUCUGAGGUAAGUGCAAGGAGUUCUUUUGCUWACUUAUAUCAAGAAUCUGCAGAGUUGUUUGAAGUUGCUUUCACUGUGAAAGUACCAUUUCCAUUGUUUAAAAUAUGGAAAAAAUUSAGUACAAAGAACACCUCAGAUGGAAGCUGCCUUAGCAUUACUGAAUUGCUAAAUGCUACAGUACCUGGUGGAUGUUGGGCUGUUGCACAAGAAUUUAGUGGGCGGCUCGAAGAAAA